UACGGAGGGUGCAAACGUUGCUCGGAAUCAUUGGGCGUAAAGCGCACGUAGGCGGCUUGUUAAGUCGGAUGUGAAAGCCCAGGGCUCAACCCUGGAAGUGCAUUCGAUACUGGCGAGCUUGAAUAUGGAAGAGAGUCGCGGAAUUCCCGGUGUAGAGGUGAAAUUCGUAGAUAUCGGGAGGAACACCAGUGGCGAAGGCGGCGACCUGGGCCAAUAUUGACGCUGAGGUGCGAAAGCGUGGGGAGCAAACAGG
rnacentral:rRNA from 1 species